rnacentral:piRNA from 1 species
GCCAUCAUUGCCUUAGGACCUCAUGUGCAC